rnacentral:rRNA from 1 species
AGUGAACGCUGGCGGUAGGCCUAACACAUGCAAGUCGAACGGCAGCACAGUAAGAGCUUGCUCUUACGGGUGGCGAGUGGCGGACGUGUGAGGAAUAUAUCGGAAUCUACUUUUUCGUGGGGGAUAACGUAGGGAAACUUACGCUAAUACCGCAUACGCCCUACGAGUGAAAGCAGGGGAUCUUCGCACCUUGCGCGAUUGAAUGCGCCGAUGUCGGAUUAGAUAGUUGGCGGGGUAAAGGCCCACCAAGGCGACGAUCCGUAGCUGGUCGGGGAGGCGGAUCGGCGACAUUGGAACUGAGACACGGACCAGAGUCCUACGGGAGGCAGCAGUGGGGAAUAUUGGACAAUGGGCGCAAGCCUGAUACAGCCAUACCGCGUGGGUGAAGAAGGCCUUCGGGUUGUAAAGCCCUUUUGUUGGGAAAGAAAAGCAGCAGGUUAAUACCCCGCGGUUCUGACGGUACCCAAAGAAUAAGCACCGGCUAACUUCGUG